rnacentral:rRNA from 1 species
AUGAACAGCUAUCAUUCCAAUCCUCAGGCCCUGCAUCUUUCAGAACAAUUGGCCAUACGUGAAGAUCCAAAAGGUCGUUUCUCCUUACAGCAGGCCACUCUGCGUUUCCGAGGACGCAUUUGGCUCGGUGGUUCUACAGCCUUACAGCAGCAAAUCAUGAGGGCCUUCCAUGACAGUCCGAUAGGGGGACAUUCUGGAUUCCCAGUGACGUAUCGUCGCAUUCGACGUUUGUUUGCUUGGCCUAAGAUGAAACUGCAUAUUCGGCAUUAUGUCAAGUGCUGUCCAGUCUGUCAGCACGCAAAACCCGACAGAGCUGCGAACCCAGGACUAUUGUUGCCACUACCAAUUCCAGCCGCACCGUGGGACUUAAUUACUAUGGAUUUCGUCGAUGGCUUGCCUCAAUCAGGUAAGGCCAACUGCUUUUGGGUGCUCGUGGAUAAAAGGACUCGGUACGCUCAUUUCCUUCCCAUUGCCCACCCUUACACGGCAGCUAAGGUGGCCAAACUAUACAUGCAGCACAUCUAUAAGAUUCAUGGUUUCCCUCGCGCCAUCGUGUCUGACAGAGAUCCAGUCUUUACAAGUCACUUCUGGCAGGAAUUGUUCCGUUAUGCAGGCACUGAGCUACGUUUGAGCAUAGCCAACCACCCGCAGACGGAUGGUCAAACAGAGCGCGUGAAUCAGUGCGUGGAAACCUUUCUCCGCUGUUUCACGCACGCAUGUCCACGUCGUUGGAGUUUCUGGAUUCCCUUGGCACAAUUUUGGUACAAUUCCUCCCACCACUCAGCUAUUGGAAUGUCGCCCUUCAAGGCUCUGUUCGGCUAUGAACCGCAGCAGUGGGGAAUCACAACGACAAGCUCAUGUUCAGUGCCAUCCUUGGAAGCCUGGCUGGAAGAGCGUGCAGUGAUGCAACAGUUGAUCCAACAGCAUUUGCACCACGCUCGACAGUGCAUGAAGAGCAAUGCAGAUAAACACCGCUCUUUUCGGGAAUUUGCCAUGGGGGACAGUGUCUACUUGAAGCUCCAGCCUUACGUGCAAUCUUCGGUGGCCCCGAGGGUAAAUCACAAAUUAUCAUUCAAAUUCUAUGGCCCGUAUCCCAUUAUCGAGAAGAUCAAUGCUGUCGCCUACAAGUUGCAGCUUCCAGCACAGGCGUCUGUCCAUCCCGUUUUCCAUGUGUCUCAACUUUGCUGA